CGUGCACUGGUGGGGUCCCUUGGCCUGGCCUGUGCUCUCUCACAAUCUGGGACCCCCUUAGGGGGAUAUCGGACUGCUGGUUUUUGUCCAAUCCCCGCAGGCCAGGCCAAGGGACCCCACUAGUGCACG
rnacentral:pre_miRNA from 1 species